GUGGUAAUUUGUUACACAACAAUAGAAAACUAAUUUUCCCAGUAAUUCUCAUUGUGGAUCUUAAGUUGAAUUGUUUUCUUUCCAUCAUUGUCAGUUUCCUUGUCUUUAAGUAAGAGGAUUUUCUAGUCUAGAACACUGGUACUCAUAGUAAUUAUGUAUUAAAAUCACUUAGACUGUGACAAGAAGCUUUAAAUAGAUUCACUUAGAUUGUGACGAGCAGCUUUAAAUGUAGAUUCCAGACCUUUCUCCUGAUGUCCUGAAUCAGAUGAUCUGGGGGCAAGUGUGGGGGCUGCUUUGUUAACUGGUUUCCUAGGUGAUUCUGAUAUUUGUGGGGCUGGAUCCCACUGGGCAGGACAUCUGUCUAUACUCUGGAAUAAGAAUAUGCAGUCUCUUCUAGCACUUACAGUUGUCCCUUUAUGUAGGAUGAGAUAACAGCAGCCACUCCCACAGUAUGGGAUCCUGCUUCCCUCACCAUAGCUGAUUAACCCUGGAUAAGACAUUGGAAAUAGGAAACUUGGAAUGGAAAGACUCUGAUCAUGAUGGUCCAUGAAGCCAAAUCCCCUGCCAUAGCAGCAUUCUGCAGUAAUUUUUCAAACUGCAUUCUCCUGGUCUUAAAAACUCAGGCUCCGAGGGGACUCAAGAUGGCGCGGUGAGAACAACCCAGGAUUGAAGCUCUCGGUGAAUGCACAGAGAGGGUGAGUCAGGGCCACAUUUCCAGACGGAUCUUUGUUGCCCACAG
rnacentral:lncRNA from 1 species